rnacentral:rRNA from 1 species
CCCUUAGAUGUCCGGGGCUGCACGCGCGCUACACUGAAGGAAUCAGCGUGCUAAAACCAUUGUCGAAAGGCAUUGGUAAACCCAUCAAAAUCCUACGUGAUUGGGAUCGGGAAUUGCAAUUAUUUCCCUUGAACGAGGAAUUCCCAGUAAGUGUGGGUCAUAAGCUCGCGUUGAUUACGUCCCUGCCCUUUGUACACACCGCCCGUCGCUGCCCGGGACUGAGCCGUUUCGAGAAAAGCGGGGACUGCUGCUGUCGGGGCUUUCGGGCCUUGGCUUCGGUGGAAACCGCUUUAAUCGCAGUGGCUUGAACCGGGCAAAAGUCGUAACA